AUAACUCCAAACUAUACCACUGCAAGAAGAAGAAUGAGAAGAGGAGGCCACUAUUAGUACGGUUUUAAGUAAAGCAGAGUAAAAUGCAGUUCAGGUCCUGAGUACAUACCCAAGAGAAAAGCUCAUUUGUGCUGAGCUGCCUACGGGAGAAGCAAUUCUGCCACGCGGUUAGCAUGGGCGAGUUUUUCAUAACCUAAUGGCUGCCUAACACAUGAAUCCUCAUUCCCACCAUCCAGCGAAUCCGAAUCAAGUGAGGAACUACAAAGCCAACGGUGAAGGCGGGGAGAGCGUAACAGGCAUAAUCGACCUUUGCACCAUCAUCAAAGGCUUUGUAGCUCUCAGUUCCAAGAGGUUGAGAGAUAACUGUGUAAUCGAAAACGAACUUCAUCAGAAAAAAAGAAAAUGGCAGGGAAUAUGAAGCAAUGCACUUUCUUUCAGAUUUCAUCUCCUUGAAGGCUGGAAGAACAACCAAUUUGUGCUGGUAACUUGGGAGAUACUACUUACAAGGAGCAAGGGGCUGAACUCUGGAGUGCUGCCACGAACCUUCAAAGGAAGGCUUAUUUGAAUCUCCUUUCCAUCAGCUUUGGAAGCAUACUCUGCUAGGUUCAGUGAUGCGGUUCCUACAACAGUAUAGCUAUUCCGAAGUACUUGGUUUUCUCCCUGUAAUCACAGCUGACUGAGUAAGAAUUUGGAACACUGCCCAACCACAAGAAGCUCCCCUCAAACAAGAGAAAAUUUUGGCACAGAUCCCCAAAGAAAAAGGUAUUAUGAGCCCUUUCAGAUCAUUUAUUUGAGUAUUCAACAUAUGGGGAUGAUCCUUUCUAUCCGUUCAGAUAUUCUUUACUUUGGGUUUUCUCAUUUGGGCUUCCCGUUAAAGUUUUUAAAACACGUUUGCUAAGGAGAAGUUUCCACACCCUUAUAGAAGAUGCUUCGUUCUCCUCCCCAACCGAGGCCAAGCAAUGUUCUGUUUCUUCCUUAUGAGAGCUGAGGACAUCAGGUAAGAACACUAUACUCCUAUGUUAAUUGUGAAUUAUUGAUAUAUUGAAUUCAUAAAGUGACAAAUUAUUGAUAUAGAAAAAGUCAAACACUGAAUAUGAAAAGAAAAUUGGAAUAUCAACAUCCUCAUUGUUCAGCCAUAC